UACGAAGGGGGCUAGCGUUGCUCGGAAUCACUGGGCGUAAAGGGUGCGUAGGCGGGUCUUUAAGUCAGGGGUGAAAUCCUGGAGCUCAACUCCAGAACUGCCUUUGAUACUGAGGAUCUUGGGUUCGGGAGAGGUGAGUGGAACUGCGAGUGUAGAGGUGAAAUUCGUAGAUAUUCGCAAGAACACCAGUGGCGAAGGCGGCUCACUGGCCCGAUACUGACGCUGAGGCACGAAAGCGUGGGGAGCAAACAGG
rnacentral:rRNA from 1 species